CGAGAAAGCCCGCAAGGGUGAGUAAAGCGGCGCACGGGUGCGUAACACGUGGGUAAUCUGCCCUGGAGUCCGGAAUAACUCGCCGAAAGGCGUGCUAAUGCCGGAUGAGACCACGGGGGCUUCGGCCUCCGCGGAAAAAGGUGGCCUCUGUACACAAGCUAUCACUCCAGGAUGAGCCCGCGGCCCAUCAGCUCGUUGGCGGGGUAAAGGCCCACCAAGGCUACGACGGGUAGCUGGUCUGAGAGGACGAUCAGCCACACUGGAACUGAGACACGGUCCAGACUCCUACGGGAGGCAGCAGUGGGGAAUCUUGCGCAAUGGGCGAAAGCCUGACGCAGCAACGCCGCGUGUGUGAUGAAGGUCUUCGGAUCGUAAAGCACUGUCGCGAGGGACG
rnacentral:rRNA from 1 species